rnacentral:rRNA from 1 species
UUAGUGGCGGACGGGUGAGUAACGCGUGAGAAUCUGCCCUCAGGAGGGGGAUAACGGCUGGAAACGGCCGCUAAUACCCCAUAUGCCGAGAGGUGAAACGAAUUUCGCCUGAGGAUGAGCUCGCGUCUGAUUAGCUAGUUGGUGGGGUAAGAGCCUACCAAGGCUUCGAUCAGUAGCUGGUCUGAGAGGAUGAUCAGCCACACUGGGACUGAGACACGGCCCAGACUCCUACGGGAGGCAGCAGUGGGGAAUUUUCCGCAAUGGGCGAAAGCCUGACGGAGCAACGCCGCGUGAGGGAUGAAGGCCUCUGGGCUGUAAACCUCUUUUAUCAAGGAAGAAGAUCUGACGGUACUUGAUGAAUAAGCCACGGCUAAUUCCGUGCCAGCAGCCGCGGUAAUACGGGAGUGGCAAGCGUUAUCCGGAAUUAUUGGGCGUAAAGCGUCCGCAGGCGGCCUUAUAAGUCUGUUGUCAAAGCGUGGAGCUUAACUCCAUUUCGGCAAUGGAAACUGUGAGGCUUGAGUGUGGUAGGGGCAGAGGGAAUUCCCGGUGUAGCGGUGAAAUGCGUAGAUAUCGGGAAGAACACCAGUGGCGAAGGCGCUCUGCUGGGCCAUAACUGACGCUCAUGGACGAAAGCCAGGGGAGCGAAAGGGAUUAGAUACCCCUGUAGUCCUGGCCGUAAACGAUGAACACUAGGUGUCGGGGGAAUCGACCCCCUCGGUGUCGUAGCCAACGCGUUAAGUGUUCCGCCUGGGGAGUACGCACGCAAGUGUGAAACUCAAAGGAAUUGACGGGGGCCCGCACAAGCGGUGGAGUAUGUGGUUUAAUUCGAUGCAACGCGAAGAACCUUACCAGGGUUUGACAUCCUGCGAAUCCCUUGGAAACUUGGGAGUGCCUUCGGGAGCGCAGUGACAGGUGGUGCAUGGCUGUCGUCAGCUCGUGUCGUGAGAUGUUGGGUUAAGUCCCGCAACGAGCGCAACCCACGUCUUUAGUUGCCAGCAUUCAGUUGGGCACUCUAGAGAGACCGCCGGUGAUAAACCGGAGGAAGGUGUGGAUGACGUCAAGUCAUCAUGCCCCUUACAUCCUGGGCUACACACGUACUACAAUGCUACGGACAAAGGGCAGCAAACUCGCGAGAGCUAGCAAAUCCCAUAAACCGUGGCUCAGUUCAGAUCGUAGGCUGCAACUCGCCUACGUGAAGGAGGAAUCGCUAGUAAUCGCAGGUCAGCAUACUGCGGUGAAUACGUUCCCGGGCCUUGUACACACCGCCCGUCACACCAUGGAAGUUGGCCACGCCCGAAGUCGUUACUCCAACCCUUGUGGAGGAGGACGCCGAAGGUGGGGCUGAUGACUGGGGUGAAGUCGUAACAAGGUAGCCGUACCGGAAGGUGC